rnacentral:rRNA from 1 species
UGAGGAGUGGCUUCCGGAGCUAACGCGUUAAGUCGACCGCCUGGGGAGUACGGCCGCAAGGUUAAAACUCAAAUGAAUUGACGGGGGCCCGCACAAGCGGUGGAGCAUGUGGUUUAAUUCGAUGCAACGCGAAGAACCUUACCUGGCCUUGACAUCCACGGAAUUUGGCAGAGAUGCCUUAGUGCCUUCGGGAACCGUGAGACAGGUGCUGCAUGGCUGUCGUCAGCUCGUGUUGUGAAAUGUUGGGUUAAGUCCCGCAACGAGCGCAACCCUUAUCCUUUGUUGCCAGCGAUUCGGUCGGGAACUCAAAGGAGACUGCCGGUGAUAAACCGGAGGAAGGUGGGGAUGACGUCAAGUCAUCAUGGCCCUUACGGCCAGGGGCUACACACGUGCUACAAUGGCGUAUACAAAGAGAAGCGAACUCGCGGGGAGCAAGCGGACCUCAUAAAGUACGUCGUAGUCCGGAUCGGAGUCUGCAAACUCGACUCCGUGAAGUCGGAAUCGCUAGUAAUC